AUUGAACGCUGGCGGCAUGCCUUACACAUGCAAGUCGAACGGCAGCACGGGGCAACCUGGUGGCGAGUGGCGAACGGGUGAGUAAUGCAUCGGAACGUGCCAUUGAGUGGGGGAUAACGUAGCGAAAGUUGCGCUAAUACCGCAUAUUCUGUGAGCAGGAAAGCAGGGGACCGCAAGGCCUUGCGCUCUUUGAGCGGCCGAUGUCAGAUUAGCUAGUUGGUGAGGUAACGGCUUACCAAGGCGACGAUCUGUAGCGGGUCUGAGAGGAUGAUCCGCCACACUGGAACUGAGACACGGUCCAGACUCCUACGGGAGGCAGCAGUGGGGAAUUUUGGACAAUGGGCGCAAGCCUGAUCCAGCCAUGCCGCGUGAGUGAAGAAGGCCUCGGUUGGUUAAGGACUCUUUCGGUCCGGGAACGGAAAGUAC
rnacentral:rRNA from 1 species